rnacentral:tRNA from 1 species
AUAUAGCUCAGUUGGUGGAGUGCUUGCCUUGAAUACACAAGACCCUGGGUUCAAUCCCCAGUAU